UGGGCCGGGGCCAUCAUGGCGUCUGCCAUGAGCUCCUCUGUUCUCAGAGUGGGCACAAUCGGCUCGGCUUUUUUCCAUUGUACUGCCAAAAUUCACCGAUUUUGAGCACCAAAGGGAGCUUUUCAGAGGGAAUACAGAGGACUUAGGUGUGUCUGCAGGGAGGACUUGUCCAGCUGCUUUGCUGAAUCCUACACAAAAGCCCAGCUCCCAUGGCAGGGGUCCUCCGAGGGGAAAGAACAAAGCUACAGGACACCAGAAACCCCAUGAUCCAUCCGAAAACAUGAGGCAAAUGCUGAAAGAAUUGCUGCAGGGAGGAGGACAAGAAGUGGAUGGAGAGGCUGGGCAGAAGGCGGCGUUUACCGGAGGAAGCAGUGGUUCUGUGCCAGACUCUGCUGUAGGACUGGAGGCGAUGCCAGGCACAGUCACAGGAGGUUGGGAUCAAGACAUGGAUUAUCUGGGAAAGCUGCUGGAUUAUGGCUUGAGACUCAUAGGAAAUCCUGGAGGCAAGUGCUCAAUGU